AUAAAAUCGGCUCAUUCUAAGGCCACUCGUCCUCCAGCGUUAGGUUUUCCGUGGGUUCAGUUGCCUCCGGAGUACAGAGGCUCUGGAUUGCGCAAUAAACACCUGGCAUGUGUGUUCAUCUAUUAUAUCUACACCAGGCUUUUAAAAGCACCUCCGGUACUCACACGUCUGAUUCCCCUUUUUUCCUUUGAUAAAAACAAACUGUCCAUUUCUC